ACAAGUAAAUGAUCACAUAUACAUAGGCAAGAUAUUAACUUGGUAAAAUAGAGCCACUCAGCUGUUUGAGUAGCCUCAUUGAAGUUUUUAAUGAAGUUCUCUUUCUGUUAUUUUAGAACAUCCCUCAUGUUUGCGGGACGGUAUAGUACGGAAAACAUAGUACACAUGCUUCUUGAACUAGGGGUUGAUGUGCUUUCUGAAGACAUUGCUGGACAUUCUGCUAGGGAUUAUGCUCUUCAAAAACGUAAUAUGCAAAAUUACCAACUCAUUUCGUUGUUUCGAGAAAAUGCUGCACUUGAGAAGAUUGUAAAUAGAAAUCCAGAUGAUGAGCAUUCUAAAGAAUAUAGAAAAAGGCUUUUGGAAAUACCUGAUGUUAAUCAUGAACUGCUUAUAUCAUAUGAGGAAGGCCUCAAUUCAUUUGCCAAGAAAGACUUAAUUCCAGGACAUACAACUGCCAUCAUUCACAGUGCACCAGAAGAGCAACCCAAUAACGACAGAAUAACUCGUGUUCAUGGAGUCCAUGAAGAUAACAAAUGUGGAGCAGAAGAUGAAGCUAAAGAAUCAACUUCAGACCCUGAGGAAGGAACGUCAACUAUAGCGGGUAAGAAGAGUAAAAAAUGUUUUUUCAUCACUCAAGUUGCUCCACAACAGCCAAUUAAUAAACAUGGGCUGGACUCUGAUCACGCAUUGGACAAAGAUAACAAACGUAGUAAGGAGUCUACCUCCCAAAGAGAUCCUGAAGACAACAACUCACCAAGGAAUUCGAAGGAAGGAAUGUCAACCUUAGCGAGUAAGAAGGGCUUAAAAGAUAUCGCCAUCACUCAAGUUGCUCCACAACAGCCAAUUAAUGAAUAUGCGUUCAACUAUGAUCGUGGAUUGGACAAUGGUAACAUGGGUAGUAAGGAGUCUACCUCCCAAAGUGAUCCUGAAGACAACAACUCACCAAGGAAUUCGAAGGCAGGAACGUCAGCUGUAGCGGGUAAGAAGAGUAAAAAACGUUUUUUCAUCGCUCAAGUUGCUCCACAACAGCCAAUUAUGAACUCUGAUCACGGAUUGGACAAAGAUAACAAACGUAGUAAGGAGUCUACCUCCCAAAGAGAUCCUGAAGACAACAACUCACCAAGGAAUUCGAAGACUAUUUCUACAAAUUCUUGGAAGGAAUCCAUUAAUCAAUCAAUGGCAGCAGAUGCAAAAGGAAAAGAUAUGAAUGAACCACUGGAAGAGUUUGCUAAGGGAUCCACUGAAUUGACGCCUCGUCUGGAAGCAAUACAUCCCUUUUUGGCAACAUCAGUGGGAAUGAAUGAAGUACAAACAUGCAGACAAGUUACAGGCAGAAUCAAGUUAAAACCAAUACCAAAACAUCUCAAGAGGCAUUUCCUUCCUCACUGCAAUACUAAUCAAUAUAAAAGCACAGAACUUGAGUUAAAAAAUGUCAAGUCUUCUCCAACAAAUAAUGACAUUAAAACAGCACCCAAGGAAGAACAAGAAUGGCUUGAUGGAAGUGAAAAUAAGCAGUUUGAAGAAAAAGGGCAGCGUUGCCAAAGUAAGGAAAUGGAAGUGUUAAGAAACUUGCAUGAAAGUGCUGCUCCUCCUGAGGACAGUGAUGGUUGUGGACUGAAUCAGCAGAGACAGAGUGGGGACCUUGACAACCAGCAAUCUGCCACUAAGAAGAGUGAAGAAUAUUAUUCCUGCCCUGCCUUGCAUAUAAAGGAAAUAAAAAAUGAAAAUGAAAAAGUGACUUCCAUGGAGUAUGGGAUUAGACCAGUGUUUGAGAAUGGCUUUUCACUCACUAGAAGUCUACUGCAAGUGAUUUAUGACAACAAUCUGAGUGAGCUCGAUCGUCUUAAAAGGGAACAGUUAAGAAGAAAAGAAAAGCAAUAUCAUAAAGAAGAAGUGAAACAAGAAGAAGUGACACAUAGAACACUAGAAAUGGAUGUGAGGACUUCAAAAAACAAUUUGACCCAGGUAGAUAUGAAACACCUGCAGCAGCAACAGGAUUACAUUGAGAAAAGGCAAUGUAAAUCAGAGGCAUCGCUGAGAGAUAUGGCACAGUUUUACCUUAAGUUAAACAGCAAGAUGCAGGAUAUAAUGAACAAGUUAGAUGAAAUCGUCAGAAAAGUAUGUAUGAUAUCUAGCAUGUCAAUAAGAAUUCUAGAGCUUAGAGUUUCCAAAUACAAAUAUCAUAAGACCCUGCUUUAUUUGAAUAUGAAAAUCUUGGCACAAUUUUAUCAUUAUGCACUUACUUCUUAAACUCUGAUAUCCACUAUUUAUUGUUAUAUUCUUUAUUAAAAUAAUACUCACUGUUAAAAACUUGAGGAAUAUAUAUCAUUUUUCACAGAAAAUGCACAUUUUUCUCAAUAUUUUCAGUGAUAUCAAUUGUCAUGAUAAAACAAGGCAGAUUGAAUCAGAGGAUAAAAUUUAGCAGAAUUCUCAAAAAAUACAUUUCUUGUUUCACUUAUGUGAAUGGAUACAAAACCUAUGUUUAUUGAUCCUGUGUAUUUCAGAAUAAAUUUUCAAAAUACUUUAUACUAUGCUGAAAU
ensembl:lncRNA